AUUGAACGCUGGCGGCAGGCCUAACACAUGCAAGUCGAGCGGAAGAAGGGAGCUUGCUCCUGGAUUCAGCGGCGGACGGGUGAGUAAUGCCUAGGAAUCUGCCUGGCAGUGGGGGAUAACGUCCGGAAACGGGCGCUAAUACCGCAUACGUCCUGAGGGAGAAAGUGGGGGAUCUUCGGACCUCACGCUAUCAGAUGAGCCUAGGCCGGAUUAGCUAGCUGGUGGGGUAAAGGCCUACCAAGGCGACGAUCCGUAACUGGUCUGAGAGGAUGAUCAGUCACACUGGAACUGAGACACGGUCCAGACUCCUACGGGAGGCAGCAGUGGGGAAUAUUGGGCAAUGGGCGAAAGCCUGAUCCAGCCAUGCCGCGUGUGUGAAGAAGGUCUUCGGAUUGUAAAGCACUUUAAGUUGGGAGGAAGGGCAGUAAGUUAAUACCUUGCUGUUUUGACGUUACCAACAGAAUAAGCACCGGCUAACUUCGUG
rnacentral:rRNA from 1 species